rnacentral:tRNA from 1 species
AACGGAAUAGUUUAAUGGUAAAACGUUGGAAUCAUAAUCCAUAUUUAAGAGUUCAAAUCUCUUUUCCGUUA